UACGAAGGGGGCGAGCGUUGUUCGGAUUUACUGGGCGUAAAGGGCGCGCAGGCGGCUCAUUUUGUCAGGCGUGAAAGCCCCGGGCUUAACCUGGGAACUGCGUUUGAUACGGAUGGGCUAGAGUUCGGGAGAGGAGAGUGGAAUUCCCAGUGUAGAGGUGAAAUGCGCAGAUAUCGGGAAGAACACCCGUGGCGAAGGCGGCACUCUGGGACGGUACUGACGCUGAGACGCGAAAGCGUGGGGAGCGAACAGG
rnacentral:rRNA from 1 species